UACAGAGACUGCAAGCGUUAUUCGGAUUCACUGGGCGUAAAGGGUGCGCAGGCGGCCAAGUGUGUCAGGUGUGAAAUCCCGAGGCUUAACCUCGGAACUGCGCCUGAAACUACUUGGCUAGAGUACUGGAGAGGGUAACGGAAUUCACGGUGUAGCAGUGAAAUGCGUAGAUAUCAAGAGGAACACCUGCGGCGAAGGCGGGUUGCUGGGCCGACACUGACGCUGAUGCGCGAAAGCUAAGGGAGCGAACGGG
rnacentral:rRNA from 1 species